AAAGUCGUAACAAGGUUUCCGUAGGUGAACCUGCGGAAGGAUCAUUAACACGUAUCCAACGUUAAACCCCCCUGUGAACUUUCAGCCUGCUCUUGUAGCUUGUAGGGUUAAGCAGCAAUCUCGGUAAAUCAAGUGGGAGAAACAGUUCUGAUUCGAGACCUCUGCACUCUAUGGGUUAUGAUUGAAGCGGUAGAAGCAGUGGCAUGGCGUCCCAAGCCUCCAGUGAAUGACAGCGUCACUGGAACAAGUGAGGGAUAACGCUUAUUCGGUUGCUAGAGGUCGCUCACCGACCGGCAAACAUGUCACAGGGCGCAAGCCCCUUAACCACCCCAUUCCCAAUGCAUUAGCCCGGGGCGAAAGUCCGAGGCCUUUAAAACCGAACAACUGUUAACAAUGGAUAUCUUGGUUCUC
rnacentral:misc_RNA from 1 species